AGCACCUUGAGGCAUGUGUUCGUAAACAAGGAUCCGUUCAUUGCCUUCAACAGAAUAUCCCAAUAAAGACACUAAAUUCCUAUGUCUGACUUUGGAAAGAACAGAAAUUUCAGAUUGAAAUUCAUCCAACGCCUUGCUGCUAAUUACUCCAGACUCCAUUCUUUUGACAGCUAUUUUUGUUCCAUCGUCUAAUUCUCCUUUAUAAACCACUCCAAAACCACCACGCCCGAGUUCAUUUUCUGGAGCAAAGUUCUUGGUUACAUCCCUAAGUACUUGAACUGAUAUGACCAAAUUGCCAGCUUCUGUCACAG
rnacentral:misc_RNA from 1 species